UGCAAUGUCAAAAUUGAGUUCAUUCAGAACUCCUGGGUAAAUAUCAUCUGGCUCUGGUGACUUAUUUCUGUUUAAUUCUUCAAUUUAUUCCAA